AUGUUCCCUACAUCUCUGCUGCUGCUGGCAGCUGCAUCCUGUGUUCAGAGUCAGACGUUGACUGAGUCUGGACCAGUGGUUAAAAAGCCGUUAGAAGCCCAAAAACUGACCUGUACAGCCUCUAUUUUAGACAUAAAUGGCUACUGGAUGGCAUGGAUCAAACAGGCUCCUGGUAAAGGACUAGAAUUUGUGGCAGCGCAUUAUGACAGUAGCAAUAUUGCCUACUCUCAGUCUGUUCAGGGUCGGUUCACCAUCUCCAGAGACAACAGCAAGCAGCAGGUGUAUCUCCAGAUGAACAGUCUGAAGACUGAAGACUCUGCUGUUUAUUAUUGUGCCAGAGACACAGUGACACAGGAGGCUGCAGCACUGUACAAAAACUGA